rnacentral:pre_miRNA from 14 species
UUUUACAGUUUUGCCUCUGAAAGAUCCCCGAAGAGAGACCCUUAUUCAAGUCUUGGGAAAUCGCGGACCCCAGACACAGAGAGACCA